rnacentral:rRNA from 1 species
UAGUUAAGAUCUUGAAACUCAAAGAAUUUGGCGGUGUUUUAGUCUAUUCAGAGGAAUCUGUUCCGUAAUUGAUAAUUCACGAACUAUUGUACUUAAUUUUGUAAAGUCAAUUUGUAUACCGCCGUCAUCAGAUUAUUUUUUUAGAAUGAAAAUUUUCUUUAGGUUGAAUGUGAAGGAUAUGUCAGGUCAAGGUGCAAUGUAUGAUUAAGUGGAAAUGGAUUACAAUAAAAUUUUAUUUAUAAUGGAUUUUGAUAUGAAAAUUCAAUUGAAGGUGGAUUUGAUAGUAAUGUUAUAUAGGUUUAUAAUUUGAUUAUAGCUCUAAAAUAUGCACAUAUCGCCCGUCGCUCUCAUUUUUUAAAGUGAGAUAAGUCGUAACAUAGUAGAUGUACUGGAAAGUGUAUCUAGAACGU